GAAGAUGUAACGGGGCUAAACCAUGCACCGAAGCUGCGGCAGCGACGUUUAUGCGUUGUUGGGUAGGGGAGCGUUCUGUAAGCCUGCGAAGGUGGCCUGUGAGGGUUGCUGGAGGUAUCAGAAGUGCGAAUGCUGACAUAAGUAACGAUAAAGCGGGUGAAAAGCCCGCUCGCCGGAAGACCAAGGGUUCCUGUCCAACGUUAAUCGGGGCAGGGUGAGUCGACCCCUAAGGCGAGGCCGAAAGGCGUAGUCGAUGGGAAACGGGUUAAUAUUCCCGUACUUGGUGUUACUGCGAAGGGGGGACGGAGAAGGCUAUGUUGGCCGGGCGACGGUUGUCCCGGUUUAAGCGUGUAGGUGUGUGUUCCAGGUAAAUCCGGUUCACUUUAACACUGAGGCGUGAUGACGAGGCACUACGGUGCUGAAGCAACAAAUGCCCUGCUUCCAGGAAAAGCCUCUAAGCAUCAGGUAACACGAAAUCGUACCCCAAACCGACACAGGUGGUCAGGUAGAGAAUACCAAGGCGCUUGAGAGAACUCGGGUGAAGGAACUAGGCAAAAUGGUGCCGUAACUUCGGGAGAAGGCACGCUGACACGUAGGUGAAGUGAUUUACUCAUGGAGCUGAAGUCAGUCGAAGAUACCAGCUGGCUGCAACUGUUUAUUAAAAACACAGCACUGUGCAAACACGAAAGUGGACGUAUACGGUGUGACGCCUGCCCGGUGCCGGAAGGUUAAUUGAUGGGGUCAGCGCAAGCGAAGCUCCUGAUCGAAGCCCCGGUAAACGGCGGCCGUAACUAUAACGGUCCUAAGGUAGCGAAAUUCCUUGUCGGGUAAGUUCCGACCUGCACGAAUGGCGUAAUGAUGGCCAGGCUGUCUCCACCCGAGACUCAGUGAAAUUGAACUCGCUGUGAAGAUGCAGUGUACCCGCGGCAAGACGGAAAGACCCCGUGAACCUUUACUAUAGCUUGACACUGAACAUUGAGCCUUGAUGUGUAGGAUAGGUGGGAGGCUUUGAAGUGUGGACGCCAGUCUGCAUGGAGCCGACCUUGAAAUACCACCCUUUAAUGUUUGAUGUUCUAACGUGGACCCGUUACCCGGGUUGCGGACAGUGUCUGGUGGGUAGUUUGACUGGGGCGGUCUCCUCCUAAAGAGUAACGGAGGAGCACGAAGGUUGGCUAAUCCUGGUCGGACAUCAGGAGGUUAGUGCAAUGGCAUAAGCCAGCUUGACUGCGAGCGUGACGGCGCGAGCAGGUGCGAAAGCAGGUCAUAGUGAUCCGGUGGUUCUGAAUGGAAGGGCCAUCGCUCAACGGAUAAAAGGUACUCCGGGGAUAACAGGCUGAUACCGCCCAAGAGUUCAUAUCGACGGCGGUGUUUGGCACCUCGAUGUCGGCUCAUCACAUCCUGGGGCUGAAGUAGGUCCCAAGGGUAUGGCUGUUCGCCAUUUAAAGUGGUACGCGAGCUGGGUUUAGAACGUCGUGAGACAGUUCGGUCCCUAUCUGCCGUGGGCGCUGGAGAACUGAGGGGGGCUGCUCCUAGUACGAGAGGACCGGAGUGGACGCAUCACUGGUGUUCGGGUUGUCAUGCCAAUGGCACUGCCCGGUAGCUAAAUGCGGAAGAGAUAAGUGCUGAAAGCAUCUAAGCACGAAACUUGCCCCGAGAUGAGUUCUCCCUGAGACUU
rnacentral:rRNA from 1 species